rnacentral:rRNA from 1 species
AGGGAAGAACAUAUGUGUAAGUAACUGUGCACAUCUUGACGGUACCUAAUCAGAAAGCCACGGCUAACUACGUGCCAGCAGCCGCGGUAAUACGUAGGUGGCAAGCGUUAUCCGGAAUUAUUGGGCGUAAAGCGCGCGUAGGCGGUUUUUUAAGUCUGAUGUGAAAGCCCACGGCUCAACCGUGGAGGGUCAUUGGAAACUGGAAAACUUGAGUGCAGAAGAGGAAAGUGGAAUUCCAUGUGUAGCGGUGAAAUGCGCAGAGAUAUGGAGGAACACCAGUGGCGAAGGCGACUUUCUGGUCUGUAACUGACGCUGAUGUGCGAAAGCGUGGGGAUCAAACAGGAUUAGAUACCCUGGUAGUCCACGCCGUAAACGAUGAGUGCUAAGUGUUAGGGGGUUUCCGCCCCUUAGUGCU